GACGAACGCUGGCGGUGUGCUUAACACAUGCAAGUCGAACGGUAAGGCCCUUUCGGGGGUACACGAGUGGCGAACGGGUGAGUAACACGUGAGUAACCUGCCCUCAUCUCUGGGAUAACAGUCGGAAACGGUUGCUAAUACUGGAUAUGAGCCUGCAAGGCAUCUUGUGGGUUGGAAAGAUUUUUUGGUUGGGGAUGGACUCGCGGCCUAUCAGCUUGUUGGUGAGGUAGUGGCUCACCAAGGCUUCGACGGGUAGCCGGCCUGAGAGGGCGACCGGCCACAUUGGGACUGAGAUACGGCCCAAACUCCUACGGGAGGCAGCAGUGGGGAAGAUUGCACAAUGGACGGAAGUCUGAUGCAGCAACGCCGCGUGCGGGAUGACGGCCUUCGGGUUGUAAACCGCUUUCAAUUGUGACGAAGCUUUUUGUGACGGUAGCAGUAGAAGAAGCACCGGCUAACUACGUG
rnacentral:rRNA from 1 species